ACUAAAUCAAGGAAACUUUCAAAUCAAUGAAUUAAGCUCUGAGGUUGAACGUGAACGAGAAGGCGAAUGUGGUGGGAAAUGACUAUUAAUAAGUAGUUAGGUAGCCUAAAGUAGUAUAUGUCUUCAUACAUACUAUUUUGUCUUGGACUCUUCCGCUGAAAUAGAAUUAUGUUCUAGAAAUUUAUGAAUUUAGUCUUGACGCUCUGAUUCUCUUUUGACUAUAUACUCAUUCGCCUUCGAAACUA